GGCGAGGUAGCUCAGAUGGUUAGAGCGUCGGAUUCAUAACCCGGAGGUCGGGGGUUCGAUUCCCCCCCUCGCUACUA
rnacentral:tRNA from 2 species